GAAUUUCACUUUCCUAAGAGUUUUCUCCAAUUGUCGGCGUAUCGCUCAUUUUUCCCACUUUGUCUUUUGUCCUGUUCUGUGGAUGCCCUAAGACAGUGUCUACCCAUCACUCCAUCUGAUAUCACUUGUUCUGAGCAUAUUUCUCUCUCAAACUUAAACUACAGAGAGCCUGUGGAUAGAGGAUGAAGAGUGACCUUGGACUAAUUUUCUAGGUCAAAGAUCAUAGGUGAUGUGAAGAGAACCAGGAAACUGAUGUUGAAAGAAGUACUUAAUGACCCUUAUGAAUGGACUUAAAUGUGAAAGACUGUUCAAUUGUUUAUCUAAGAUAUAUGAAUUUAUUUAAUAUUUUGAUAUCAUUGAAAAAUUCAGUUACAGUUUUUGUACAU